AACGUAGGACGCAAGCGUUAUCCGGAAUUACUGGGCGUAAAGGGCGUGCAGGCGGCUCGAUAAGUCCGUCGUGAAAGCCCCUGGCUAAACUGGGGGAGGUCGAUGGAGACUGUCGGGCUAGAGGCUGGUAGAGGGGCAUAGAAUUCCGGGUGUAGUGGUGAAAUGCGUAGAUAUCCGGAGGAAUACCAGAGGCGAAGGCGGUGCCCUGGGCCAGUACUGACGCUAAGACGCGACAGCAUGGGGAGCGAAC
rnacentral:rRNA from 1 species